ACAGACUGAAAAUUACCUCAGGCAUAUUUGUGGCCUGAGGUUAGAUAACUGUGCCAACAGUAAUGUGGUGCAUUAAGCUUAUUGCCUGUUACGUCAAUGACAGAGUGAUAAAACCCAUGUGCCCACACUU